GUGCUCACUUCGGCAGCACAGGUACUAAAAUUGGAACGAUAUAGAGAAGAUUAGCAUGGCCCUUGUGCAAGGAUGAAACACAAGUUUAUGAAGUGUUACAUAUUUUU
ensembl:snRNA U6 U6 spliceosomal RNA